rnacentral:rRNA from 1 species
UGCCUCUAGAUCUAAUAUUAAAGGUACAUCCUGCCCAGUGAUUUAUUCAACGGCCGCGGUACCCUGACCGUGCAAAGGUAGCAUAAUCAUUUGCCUUUUAAUUGGAGGCUAGAAUGAAUGGACAAACGAAAUUAUUACUGUCUCUAUUAUACACAUAAAAAUUAGCCUUUAGGUGAAGAGACCUAGAUAAAAAUAAUAGACAAGAAGACCCUAUUGAGUUUAACUUUUACCUUUCUAUUUAAACCCCAAAGGUUUGGUUGGGGCGACCAAGGAAAAUCAAAAUCUUCCUUUUUUAAUAAGAUUAUAUAUCUUACUCUUGACCCACCAUCGUGAGCAUAAAAAUAAACUACCAUAGGGAUAACAGGCUAAUCUUCCUAGAGAGCCCAUAUUGACAGGAAGGAUUGGCACCUCGAUGUUGGCUUAAGGGAACUCACUAACGCAGAAGUUAGUAACAGUUAGUUUGUUCAACUAAUAAUCCUU